UACGUAGGGUGCAAGCGUUACUCGGAAUUACUGGGCGUAAAGCGUGCGCAGGCGGCUUUGCAAGACAGAUGUGAAAUCCCCGGGCUUAACCUGGGAACUGCAUUUGUGACUGCAUAGCUUGAGUGCGGCAGAGGGGGAUGGAAUUCCGCGUGUAGCAGUGAAAUGCGUAGAUAUGCGGAGGAACACCGAUGGCGAAGGCAAUCCCCUGGGCCUGCACUGACGCUCAUGCACGAAAGCGUGGGGAGCAAACAGG
rnacentral:rRNA from 1 species